rnacentral:tRNA from 1 species
UGUUCUCUGGUGUAAUGGUAACACAUCAGUUUUUGGAGCUGAGUUUAUAGGUUCGAGUCCUAUGAGAACAA